GUAGGGUGCAGGCGUUAAUCGGAAUUACUGGGCGUAAAGCGUGCGCAGGCGGUUUCUUAAGUCAGAUGUGAAAGCCCCGGGCUUAACCUGGGAACUGCGUUUGAAACUGGGAGACUUGAGUGUGGCAGAGGGGGGUGGAAUUCCACGUGUAGCAGUGAAAUGCGUAGAUAUGUGGAGGAACACCGAUGGCGAAGGCAGCCCCCUGGGUUAACACUGACGCUCAUGCACGAAAGCGUGGGGAGCAAACAGGAUUAGAUACCCUGGUAGUCCACGCCCUAACUAUGUCAACUGGUUGUCGGGGGAUUAACUCCCUUGGUAACGAAGCUAACGCGUGAAGUUGACCGCCUGGGGAGUACGGCCGCAAGGUUA
rnacentral:rRNA from 1 species